UACGUAGGUGGCAAGCGUUGUCCGGAUUUACUGGGUGUAAAGGGCGUGCAGCCGGGCUGACAAGUCAGAUGUGAAAUCCCGCGGCUCAACCGCGGAACUGCAUUUGAAACUGUUAGUCUUGAGUACCGGAGAGGUCAUCGGAAUUCCUUGUGUAGCGGUGAAAUGCGUAGAUAUAAGGAAGAACACCAGUGGCGAAGGCGGAUGUCUGGACGGCAACUGACGGUGAGGCGCGAAGGCGUGGGGAGCAAACAGG
rnacentral:rRNA from 1 species